rnacentral:lncRNA from 1 species
UUUUCCUCUUUGCAGGAAAUUCCAGUGCCAGGAUGUUAAACUCAGACUUCCUCACAACAGCCUGCUGGUGACGGCUUGCACCCGGUGGGCUGUGUGACAGUGUGUUUUGUCUCCUGGUGAGCUGAAAGGAAGCAGAAGCUGUCCAACAGUGAGUGUAAGAGAUCCCAUUUCUCCUUCCCCCCGAUCCCCCGUAGCGUAGCUUGUGCUUUGCAGGGCACGUGAGGACCCCAACCCAUGGGUACCUAAAGCAGCCCUGAUGGUGGGGGACGCACUGCGGUGACGGUAUUGUCUCAUCACGGGGGGGUUUGGUGCCUCCUGGGGGGCCAGAGCCAAGGGUGGUCUUGUCUCUUUCCCGAAACCUGCAAAGUUUUUGUUUUGAAGUCGACAUGGCACCUCUUUUUCUCAAAAACUGGAAAUGUGUUUUAUGUCUCCAAAUACCUCUCUGGGCAGCCCAUAAGAGAUGACCUCUGCCAUGUAGUCUACAGCAACGCAAGCUGAGCAACACGGCAAGAGCGUGAUAUGUGACAGCAAAGAAAAAAAGUCCUUCAAAAUACUGACUUGAAGACGAAUACCCGAAGCCGUGCAAGUCAGAUGAAAGCAUAGGCACGGGCAGUGCAUGCCAAGGCUCAGCUUCCAGGACCAUGAGAGGAUGCCAGGCCGCUCUGCUUCCAAUUACACGAGUAUUAUACCUCCUGCUCCGAAGACUGCAAGCACAGAUUUGACCGCUUUCCCGUGCCAGCCGCUUCCAGGGAGGGUAGGAGAGGAGUGCCCCAGGCUCAGCCUGGCUGGCACGGCCACAGCUGCCCAGCUGAGGAAGGACACGUCCUGGUCACCAGGGGGCUGUCGUGGCAUCAGACCUGCCAGAGGAUUUCUAGCUUCUGUAGGACUUGCAAGUAUGAGGUGACCACUUGGAUCCCAGAGAACAUGGUCAGCACACGAGGAGACUGAAACACAGCAGGCAGUACACAAGGUAAGUAUUUACUCUCUGCGUAUUCGGGUUAUGGGGAUACUGCUUGUCUGCAGUGCUGGAGCUGUUUACAGCAGCUUGUGAGCUUUAAUAAGUGACUUAUUUUCUGG